GGACUGACCCUCCAGUGCCUACUGAGCUGAUAUCAGUUCUCGUUGACCCACUGGCUCAGUUCAGCAGGAACAGGAGUGCGGCCC